UACGUAGGGCGCAAGCGUUGUCCGGAAUUAUUGGGCGUAAAGAGCUCGUAGGCGGUUUGUCGCGUCUGCUGUGAAAACUGGAGGCUCAACCUCCAGCCUGCAGUGGGUACGGGCAGACUAGAGUGCGGUAGGGGAGAUUGGAAUUCCUGGUGUAGCGGUGGAAUGCGCAGAUAUCAGGAGGAACACCGGUGGCGAAGGCGGGUCUCUGGGCAGUAACUGACGCUGAGGAGCGAAAGCGUGGGGAGCGAACAGG
rnacentral:rRNA from 1 species